rnacentral:rRNA from 1 species
GCUAAACGCGAAGAACCUUACCGGGGGCUUGACAUCUUUCUGACCGCCUGGGAAACCAGGUCUUCUUCCUUCGGGAAGACGGAAAGACAGGUGGUGCAUGGUUGUCGUCAGCUCGUGUCGUGAGAUGUUGGGUUAAGUCCCACAACGAGCGCAACCCUUGUCCUUAUUUGCCAGCCUGUUUACAGGCGUACUUUAAGGAGACUGCCGUAGAUAAUACGGAGGAAGGUGGGGAUGACGUCAAAUCCUCAUGCCCCCUUACGUCCCGGGCUACACACGUGCUACAAUGGUCUGUACAGAGGGUAGCCAAGAAGCAAUUCGGAGCCAAUCCCAAAAAGCAGGCCCCAGUUCGGAUUGGAGGCUGCAACUCGCCUCCAUGAAGUCGGAAUCGCUAGUAAUCGCGGAUCAGCACGCCGCGGUGAAUCCGUUCCCGGGUCUUGUACACACCG